GAUAAACGCUGGCGGCGUGCUUAACACAUGCAAGUCGAACGAAGUUUUUCCUUCGGGAGAAACUUAGUGGCGGACGGGUGAGUAACGCGUGGGUAACCUGCCCUGUACAGGGGGACAACAGCUGGAAACGGCUGCUAAUACCGCAUAAGCCCUUAGCACUGCAUGGUGCAUAGGGAAAAGGAGCAAUCCGGUACAGGAUGGACCCGCGUCUGAUUAGCCAGUUGGCAGGGUAACGGCCUACCAAAGCGACGAUCAGUAGCCGAUCUGAGAGGAUGUACGGCCACAUUGGGACUGAGACACGGCCCAGACUCCUACGGGAGGCAGCAGUGGGGAAUAUUGCACAAUGGAGGAAACUCUGAUGCAGCGACGCCGCGUGAGUGAAGAAGUAUUUCGGGAUGUAAAGCUCUAUCAGCAGGGAAGAAAAUGACGGUACCUGACUAAGAAGCACCGGCUAAAUACGUG
rnacentral:rRNA from 1 species